CUACCCGCCUGUCCGUCAGUACACAUAUGAGCGCUGUGAUCGCAGAAACUAUAAAAACUUGAAAGUUGAGAUUAGGGACGUAGAUUGGUGAUUCUGGGGAUGUUGACGCAGCGCAGGUUUGCUUUAAAAGAUUGACACGCCCACAAACAGCCCAAAACUUUCAAGCCAUUUAAUUUUUUAAUUUCUCUUUCCAUUUCCUGUUCAUAUGCCAAUAUAAUGUUGGCAACGCGCACACUUCUGUCCCUAUUUGACCAAAAUGAUGCAAUUUCUCCUCAGCAUUAGCUGAGCAAUGUAUUUUUGAUUUUCGGCUAUAGAGUCUGCUCUUGCCUCUACUGUGGAUGGAAAUGCGACUUUGCUGUAAUCGACCGGUCAUACCACCUGAUACCACCACCACCAAAUCAAAACUAUCACAAAUACUAAACGGUUACCAUGUAUUAAAGAAAUACAAACGCUUAGAAAGAGAAGCGAGGAAAGUGUAAUAAUUAAAAAUGU
ensembl:ncRNA lncRNA:CR43927 long non-coding RNA:CR43927